UAGGGAAUCUUCGGCAAUGGACGAAAGUCUGACCGAGCAACGCCGCGUGAGUGAAGAAGGUUUUCGGAUCGUAAAACUCUGUUGUUAGAGAAGAACAAGGACGUUAGUAACUGAACGUCCCCUGACGGUAUCUAACCAGAAAGCCACGGCUAACUACGUGCCAGCAGCCGCGGUAAUACGUAGGUGGCAAGCGUUGUCCGGAUUUAUUGGGCGUAAAGCGAGCGCAGGCGGUUUCUUAAGUCUGAUGUGAAAGCCCCCGGCUCAACCGGGGAGGGUCAUUGGAAACUGGGAGACUUGAGUGCAGAAGAGGAGAGUGGAAUUCAAUGUGUAGCGGUGAAAUGCGUGGAUAUAUGGAGGGAGGCCAGUGGCGAAGGCGGCUCUCUGGUCUGUAACUGACGCUGAGGCUCGAAAGCGUGGGGAGCAAACAGG
rnacentral:rRNA from 1 species